rnacentral:rRNA from 1 species
GUCGUAGACCCGAAACCAGGUGAUCUACCCUUGGUCAGGUUGAAGUUCAGGUAACACUGAAUGGAGGACCGAACCGACUUACGUUGAAAAGUGAGCGGAUGAACUGAGGGUAGCGGAGAAAUUCCAAUCGAACCUGGAGAUAGCUGGUUCUCUCCGAAAUAGCUUUAGGGCUAGCCUCAAGUGAUGAUUAUUGGAGGUAGAGCACUGUUUGGACGAGGGGCCCCUCUCGGGUUACCGAAUUCAGACAAACUCCGAAUGCCAAUUAAUUUAACUUGGGAGUCAGAACAUGGGUGAUAAGGUCCGUGUUCGAAAGGGAAACAGCCCAGACCACCAGCUAAGGUCCCAAAAUAUAUGUUAAGUGGAAAAGGAUGUGGCGUUGCCCAGACAACUAGGAUGUUGGCUUAGAAGCAGCCAUCAUUUAAAGAGUGCGUAAUAGCUCACUAGUCGAGUGACACUGCGCCGAAAAUGUACCGGGGCUAAACAUAUUACCGAAGCUGUGGAUUGUCCUUUGGACAAUGGUAGGAGAGCGUUCUAAGGGCGUUGAAGCAUGAUCGUAAGGACAUGUGGAGCGCUUAGAAGUGAGAAUGCCGGUGUGAGUAGCGAAAGACGGGUGAGAAUCCCGUCCACCGAUUGACUAAGGUUUCCAGAGGAAGGCUCGUCCGCUCUGGGUUAGUCGGGUCCUAAGCUGAGGCCGACAGGCGUAGGCGAUGGAUAACAGGUUGAUAUUCCUGUACCACCUAUAAUCGUUUUAAUCGAUGGGGGGACGCAGUAGGAUAGGCGAAGCGUGCGAUUGGAUUGCACGUCUAAGCAGUAAGGCUGAGUAUUAGGCAAAUCCGGUACUCAUUAAGGCUGAGCUGUGAUGGGGAGAAGACAUUGUGUCUUCGAGUCGUUGAUUUCACACUGCCGAGAAAAGCCUCUAGAUAGAAAAUAGGUGCCCGUACCGCAAACCGACACAGGUAGUCAAGAUGAGAAUUCUAAGGUGAGCGAGCGAACUCUCGUUAAGGAACUCGGCAAAAUGACCCCGUAACUUCGGGAGAAGGGGUGCUCUUUAGGGUUAACGCCCAGAAGAGCCGCAGUGAAUAGGCCCAAGCGACUGUUUAUCAAAAACACAGGUCUCUGCUAAACCGUAAGGUGAUGUAUAGGGGCUGACGCCUGCCCGGUGCUGGAAGGUUAAGAGGAGUGGUUAGCUUCUGCGAAGCUACGAAUCGAAGCCCCAGUAAACGGCGGCCGUAACUUUAACGGUCCUAAGGUAGCGAAAUUCCUUGUCGGGUAAGUUCCGACCCGCACGAAAGGCGUAACGAUUUGGGCACUGUCUCAACGAGAGACUCGGUGAAAUCAUAGUACCUGUGAAGAUGCAGGUUACCCGCGACAGGACGGAAAGACCCCGUGGAGCUUUACUGUAGCCUGAUAUUGAAAUUCGGCACAGCUUGUACAGGAUAGGUAGGAGCCUUUGAAACGUGAGCGCUAGCUUACGUGGAGGCGCUGGUGGGAUACUACCCUAGCUGUGUUGGCUUUCUAACCCGCACCACUUAUCGUGGUGGGAGACAGUGUCAGGCGGGCAGUUUGACUGGGGCGGUCGCCUCCUAAAAGGUAACGGAGGCGCUCAAAGGUUCCCUCAGAAUGGUUGGAAAUCAUUCAUAGAGUGUAAAGGCAUAAGGGAGCUUGACUGCGAGACCUACAAGUCGAGCAGGGUCGAAAGACGGACUUAGUGAUCCGGUGGUUCCGCAUGGAAGGGCCAUCGCUCAACGGAUAAAAGCUACCCCGGGGAUAACAGGCUUAUCUCCCCCAAGAGUUCACAUCGACGGGGAGGUUUGGCACCUCGAUGUCGGCUCAUCGCAUCCUGGGGCUGUAGUCGGUCCCAAGGGUUGGGCUGUUCGCCCAUUAAAGCGGUACGCGAGCUGGGUUCAGAACGUCGUGAGACAGUUCGGUCCCUAUCCGUCGUGGGCGUAGGAAAUUUGAGAGGAGCUGUCCUUAGUACGAGAGGACCGGGAUGGACAUACCUCUGGUGUACCAGUUGUCGUGCCAACGGCAUAGCUGGGUAGCUAUGUGUGGACGGGAUAAGUGCUGAAAGCAUCUAAGCAUGAAGCCCCCCUCAAGAUGAGAUUUCCCAACUUCGGUUAUAAGAUCCCUCAAAGAUGAUGAGGUUAAUAGGUUCGAGGUGGAAGCAUGGUGACAUGUGGAGCUGACGAAUACUAAUCGAUCGAAGACUUAAUCAA